rnacentral:misc_RNA from 1 species
UCCGGCUUAUCACCGGCAGUUUCCUUAGAGUUCCCACCAUUACGUGUUGGCAACUAAGGAUGAGGGUUGCGCUCGUUGCGGGACUUAACCCAACAUCUCACGACACGAGCUGACGACAGCCAUGCAGCACCUGUGUGGAAGCCAGCCAAACUGAAGGAUAACUUUUCUGCUAUCCAUACUUCCCAUGUCAAGGCCUGGUAAGGUUCUUCGCGUUGCCUCGAAUUAAACCACAUGCUCCACCGCUUGUGCGGGUCCCCGUCAAUUCCUUUGAGUUUUAAUCUUGCGACCGUACUCCCCAGGCGGAGUGCUUAAUGCGUUAGCGACGCCACUAAAUCCUACGGAUCUAACGGCUAGCACUCAUCGUUUACAGCGUGGACUAC